AUCUUUACAAUAUGUUCUAAUGGGAAACAGGCUUCAACACAAACGGUUGUUUUCCGCUUGGUCCUAGAGCUCAACCAGUGUCAAUUUAAUAUAGCGUAAUAUUGUUUUUGGAUGGUAAAAAGUGCAGGGGUCAAAACUUGACUUUGGAAAAAGUGGGGGGGACAUGUCCCCCCUGUCCCCCCCCCCCCACAAAAUUACGUCCAUGGUUUAGUAAUAUAAGGAGAGGCUUGAGCAUGUAGAGCAUCGAAAAUUAUAGUCAGGAUUUUAAAAACCAGUAACCAGUGCAGAGACAUCAGAAUAGGAGUGAUGUUUGCUCUUCUGUUUGCUCCAGUUAGAAACCUUGCUGCAGAGCUCUGGACCAAAUGAAGGCAAUAAUUUUUGUUAAAACGUGUAAAAAGUGUGUUAGUCAUCUAGAUGGCAGGAGAUAAAAGCAUGGGUAACCAUUUCAAGUUCAUGCCACCAAUCUUUGAAGUUUAGAGAUAUUUCUCAAAUGAUAAAAACCAGACCAGCAUUUUUGAGUGGCAUUCAAGAGACAUUGAUUUGUCAGAAAUCACACCCAAAUUCCUUAAGUUUGUUUUGGCGGUUGUAGUUGAAACAUCAGAACAAGAAUUUCAGCUGUCGGGGGACCUGCUUCGCUGCCGACAUUUGACAUCUUUUAUUUGGGUCCAUCUGUUGUAGGCUUCACCUAAAAUCACUCUACUUUUAGAUCUUUUAUGGUCACCCCUCUUCUGAGAAGGAUAACGACAUCUUCUGGGCUCAGAAGUAGCUGCUAGAUUUGCAGAGUCCACCAUUUUCCACAGUGCCAACCUCACUGUGACUAUUUGGCAACCCGCCCUCUAUUGGCUGGUCGUUGUAAACAUAAACCCAGUGCUGUGCCCAUCAAAAUAAAUAUUUGAUUAUCUUUUUAAUUAAAAUGUAGCUUUUAAAGCAAUACUUUGUAACUUUUUCAUAUUUUUAAAUCUUUUUCUUGAGCCAGUAUGUGCUAAAAUGACCCUUUACAGGGUCAAUGAAAGGUCACCCAGCCCCAUCACCCCCUGCACUUGCAACUUCUGACUGGCAGUCGCUCUGUUGGGACUUCAUAAAAUGGAGCUGACAUACCUGGCACUGCGGUCUGGUUCCAGUACGUUUCCUGCAUGUUUUAGACCAGGGGUGUCAAACUCAAACUCACACGGGGCCGAAAAUGAAACUCUGGGACGGAGUCGAGGGCCAAACUUUUUUUUUUUUUUUAAAGUGAUGCAAAUUUGCACAUUUUCUUUAUCAACAUAUAUGCAAUUUUGAACGUUUAAAUUUGGAAACACACUUAUUUCUGCAUUAACACUGAAUGUGGAAUAACCAAAUUACACACGAGCAAGUCAAUUUUAAAUAAAAGGCAUCAGUGGUAUUCAUUACUUGUGGUAUAUUCAGCAUUUUUAAAAUCUAUUCAGGAUUUAUGUUUUCUUGUUGUUUAUUAAUUUUUCUUAUUUUUUAUUCUCCUUUUUUUCUCCUGUAAUAAGUGUCAUCGCUGCUGUGACGUCUAGCUUUCCCCACUGAGGAACAAUAAAGGGAUUUUCUAUUCUAUUCAUCUAUCUGCAGCCUUUCCACUUCCUGUUUACUGUAGGUUAAAUCUUUUCUCACGGGCCAACAACAAAAUAAAAAUAUCAUUUUAUCUUAAAUGAAAAUGCAACAUCUCACCUGUUAACUUUCAUGUUUUGGAGCAGAAAAAGAGCAGAAAACCAACAUAUUUAAAGCUCAGUUUGCUCCACUGGUUUACUGUGAUGCUCACCUGUUCCAGCCAGAUACCUGCAUCAUGGGGUUGAUCUGAGCUGAGGAGGAGACUCCUGUUGUUUUGUUCAUCUUCAUCAUAAUAAUGACAACAUUAGAUGACAACAGGUGCUCACAUAGGUUUGUGCUGAUGAACAUGUCUGAGCAGCUUGACCACGUUGUUGUGUGUCGGGGAGGAAAAAUAACAACUACAGCAGCCACAGAGCCGUGCUGGUUUGAGCGUGUCGCUGCUCGCUGGAGUUUUAUCAGCUCUGUCUGGACGUUAGUUGGAAAAUGUUCUCUUUCAGUCGUGAACACAUUACUGAGCGGUUAAAAUCUCCGUUUCUGGGCUUCAGCGUUGGAAAUUAGCUGAGUAAACUCGGCGCUGAUUGAGAGGAGUGUUUAGUUUGUCCGAGACAGCGGAGCUGCAGACACCGGCAGCAGACGCUGGAAAAAACACAAAGGAGGGGGCGCUUCGGCUCCGCGCUAACGCCGCCGAGCAUCAUGGGAGUUGUAGUCUUUGCUGUAAAAUCGGCCAGAGGCUCAGUUGUAAUAUAUUUUUGAUAUUUAUCUCGGGGGCCACAUAAAAAUGCUCUGUGGACCACAUCUGGCCCACGGGCCUUGUGUCUGACACGUGUUUUAGAUCAUGAACAGCUGAUUUGUUUAAUUUAGUGCUGAAUCACUCCUGUAGACACAAAUGAAGGCUGGGGAGACAUUUGAGCUGUUAGGUUAAGGUUAAAAAGACGAACGCACAGCAAGGAGAUAGGUUCUGCUUUAGGUUCUACAAACGGACACUAGGGGGUGCUAAAAGCAAGCCAAAAUAGUGUAUCUUCAUUCUUCACACCUCUAAAUGCCUCAUGUGUGUUUUUUAAUAUAUCUUUUUAUUAAAUUGUUGCAUAUUCAAGUUGUUGACUAAUCAGAGGAACUAUGCUCUCAAGGGCAAUGAUGAGACAUUCAGUCUCUCCUCUAACCCCCAUCCUAACCUUAACCCAGUUUCUUGUUCUAAAUUUCCCGUUAACCGUGUUUAAGAGGAACGAUACAACAAGAAACAAAGUUUUGCAUGCGCUAGUGGGUUAAGGUUAGGAUGGGGGUUAGGGGAAGGUUAAGUCGCAAGAGGGUAAAGGUCACAAUUAGCUAAAAUCUCAGUUUUACCGCGAGCGUCGGAAAGCAACGCUCAUGCAGAAUGUGUCACCUCCCAACGCGUUGGAGCUCCCAAUUAAUGCUGAAUCAGUUUUAGCCACUUUGGGUGUGAGAAUGUGUUGGUGACAGGCACUUGAGUAGUUCAGACAGUUAAUAUAACCCAGAAUCCUUAAAGAGGGACAAGGCAGUUUGGCAUGCUUUUAGCACCCUCUAGUGUCCGUUUAGUAGAACCGAAAGCAAAACAUUUUUCCUUUUUUUAACACCUGAAGGCUGAAAAGUUUCCCCAGCCUGCCUUUGUGUCUACAGGAGUAAUUCCGCAGCAAUUUCCUAAUGUUGGGAUUCUUGCACAAAUAGCAAUAAAACCUUCUGAUUCGGAAUCUGAUUAAUGUCUAAAUUAAACAAAUCAGCUGUGUCCACGAUCUAAAACAUGCAGGAAAUGCACUGGAACCAGACUGUAACGCCAGGUAUGUCAGCUGAAUGGUUUUUCAAAUUCAAAGAGAGCGGACCGCCCACACUGGAGUUGCAAAUGCAGUAUUCUGGCACAGAAGGGCGGCGGGGGUCUGAGCGACAUUUUAUUAACCCUGUAAAGGGUCAUUUUGGGUCUAGAAAUGUUUUUUAAAAUACAAAAAGUUGCUAAGUAUCUAUUUAAAGGAGCAGCACAGCUGGAUGACAUCUGCAUAUGGGUGAUGGGAGACAUUAUGAAAGGAGGGUGUAUCUAUAAUAAAACAGGAGUGGACCCUAAACACAGCCUUAGGGCUCAGUGGCUGAACUACUUUAUCUUAGACAAAGGUGGCAAAAAGAGUCCCUUAGUUAUUCAUUUUUGUUUGUUUAAUGAGGAAAACAUAAGGAGACGCAUGCUGUGGUUUAUUUUUUGUUUUAUGUCAAAAUUAAAUGCAAGAUAUUUUACUCACAUUCUACAGAAGUUAUAUUUCACCAUAAACAUAAUUGAAUAAUUUAGAGACAUUUUUUUCUUACAACAAAAAACUUUUUUAACAAUAGUACAGCUGUAACAAUCUAAAAUAGAAAAGAAGAAAACAAAAAUGUUAAAGCUGCUGCCGGUAGCUGAUUAUGAUCAUCAUUAGUGAUGCACUGAUAUGAAACUUUUGGGCCGAUACCAAUAUCCAAUAUUAAGAUCACUGUCAUGGUCGAUAACCGAUAUGCUGACAUUAAUGCUUCUAAAAUCAGCAGAUUUUGUAUAGAAUAAAACAUUUUAAAGCUGAAUUUACAUUGUUAUGUACACACACCACACACAUUUACACUUCUGAGAUGAUUACAGUCACUGUCAUGUGACUAAACAACUACACAUCACCCCCCUCACCCUCUGUAACAGAUAAACAAAUGGAAAUAAGAUGGAAAAAAUAUCGGUUGUUAAUAUCGGCCCAGUUUAAUUUAUCGCACCGAUACCGAUAUUGAUGCCGAUAUAUUGUGCAUCCCUAAUCACCAUGGUAACAUCACCUGCUACGCUCUGUCGUAAAUGCAUAGACAGACAGAGAUAGACAGGAUGGCCUUCUUGUAAACAAAAGUCAAACCUCAAACAAACUGCAGCUGAGCAAAAAUGUAAAGUCCUGUCAAAAAUAUGCAUUUAAUACGCAGCAGAGUCUGGUCAUGCAUUCACGUUUACUUAGCAGGUAUGAAAAAGUCUAAAGACGUACAUUUUAAUGCACUUUUUGCAUAAUCGUUUUCAGGAAAAUAAUUAUUUGAAAGGAAUAUUGACAGAGAAACAGUAACAUUGCUGCUUUGGGAAUCUCUAGAAGGGGAAUGGCUUCGGCUCAGAAGGAUGAUCUGUCAAUUGAGAGGUUUUUAUUUUUAUUUUAGCUUCCCCUUCCACAUGACAAAGUAUCUUUGGACAAGAAACUGAAGCCAAUCUGAGUUUGUGAGUGAAACUCAAAUGCUCCUGGAGUGCUCAGCAGGACCAGAAAAGCCCAGCAUAAAGCAGUCUGGUUGUUAAGGUGCUCUCCAAGGCAACAAUUCAGUAGUAGAUACAUGCAGAUAUCUGUUAAACACUCUUAAUUGUUUAACUGUGGUACUCAGUGUUUUACUACUGCCCAGGGUUGACCUAAUCAGCGGUCUACAAGUGUUCCCAUCACGGCAAACACUUCUGCUAAUUUAAAGGCCAAAGGUCAGACAAGGGUGCAACUAAAAGACAAAGCACAUGAAGAAAUAGCUUCAACAAUAGGAAUUCUUGUUCCAGAUAUUCAUAAAACACAUCGUUUUAAAUCUAAUUCUGAAACAUAAAAUUCAUAUUCAGGUAAAUUUCACAAAAACGCUUAAGUACCAGUGCUAUUCCACCAGGGGGGUCAGCUAUGGCGACAUCAACAGCAAAUCAAAAUUGUAACUUAAAAACACUGUGUACAAAACAAGUGUAGUGUUUAUUUAGUUUCAUACUAUUUACAAUUAUCUCUCAAUCAUUUUCAGGUUUAAAACGGUUUAAUUUACUACCCGUCGUAGGAAGCUCACUGAACAGCUGAGUAAUGAUAGAAAUUAAUUACAUUUAAUUAAGGACCAUAAGACAUUAAAAAUUCAUAUCUAGUAUGAAUCUCAUCUUAUGGACACUGGGUUAUUUAAAUCAGAAGAUUGGGUCUUUUUAUUACAGGGAUUUUCUAAUAACACUUUGCAUUAACUGAGAGACAAGAGAAGACAGAGAGACUUUCAAACGUUUAAGGAAAUUUAUUGUCAAAUAAUUUUAAACAAUUUAUCAAGACUAACUCUCUAAUGAUGGAUGUUCUGUUGGAAUGAAGUGUGAGGUGAAUAGUGUGUGUGAAUGAUGUCGAAUUCAGAACCUUCACAUCCGGAGAAACAAGUCUGAGUGGGAGAUGAUGUUUUGCUCCUAACUGAUCAGAGUUUUAGACUCGUAGUCGUAAACACGAGUCGCCAUUGUGUCGCAUCCACAUACCCUCAGUGAGACCUCCGUACAGAUCCGGAUGCCAGGUCCACGGACCCUCCGCUGGUACUGGAGCCAAUGGUACAGCGUCGACAGCCCGACAAACCAGUCUUUGGAUAGUCUCCAGGUAAAAAGCGACAGGUGUUUCACAGCGUCCAAAAGGGACCCUCCUUGGGUCAGCGAGUUCAGCUUUUAUUCUGAAGGUACCGUUGCUUGGUUGGUAACAACAACAGGUUUGUCCCAGCUUUAAUGGUUCUCAGCUUAAAAAGAGAAGUAUAGAUGGCCUUUCCAUACUUCUCUUAACAUGCGGUGAACUUCAUGGAAUCUUGAGAAGAGAUCUUGAGAACUGAACUUAAGAUGGCGUUGGAACAGUUUUAUUAAUCUGGAUGUUUUUGAUUCUGGACGAAUCAAACAUAGAGCCCUGCAUUGAAGCCCUAGGCCCUCGGGUCGGGUCGGCCCAACGGCCCUCGGGCCGGGCUUCAGGCCAACGACUGUGUAAUUACCUCGGACACGGGCCGGGCACCUUUAUUUUUAAUCAAAUUCAUAAAAAAAAAUUGAACCACAAACGCAGCAGUAGAGCCCUGCGCGGGACUGUUUUCUUCAUCCCGCUCCUGCCCGCUCCCGCUGAAUUUCUGACCAUUACCGCCUGCAACUGCAACGUGUGUGUUACACUCCCGCCCGCACCUGCAGCGCGCAUGUCUACUCCCGCCCGCAACCGCAAAACUCGGAGAAAUUAUUACCUCACAAUAAAAGAGAUGUAUUGAGUUUGCGUCCUCUCUGGUCCUGGAGAAAACAUGUCACAACCCGCGGCUCUUCCAUCCAUCUGAUGCGGCUCUCUGCGCUUGUAAAAUAAUGAAUGGAUAUUUAAAUAAAAUGCUUUAUAUUUUACUGAAUUAAUUUUAUAUCUGUAAGUCAAUUCUAUGUAAAGAUUGUCUGUGUAAACCUGAACAGGCCCAACCCAGUCUUACUGUGAGACCGGGUUGACGGGUUACGCUUGUGCGUAAUCAUAGGCGCAUUCUGAGCUGAAGAGGAUGUGAGAUUCUGGGACUCUCCUCAGACGGCUCCUGGAUGUGUCGCCACAUUGGAGACAGGAACAAGCGCUAUUCAGCCAAAGUUUCAUAAUCAGGGAACAUUUUCUAAGUGACAAGUCUCUCUGAGAGAACAGUGUUCAGUGGGAGGAACCUUCCCGCAUGCGCUCUGGUUCUGCGACGCGCUCCAAGCCAAUCUCCACAAAUUCAGCUCGCUGUGCACAUAUGCGCUGACAGCGAGCUGCGCUGAGCAGCUCAGAUGUUCAGAUGGGAAUCUUUUCUUGGGUUAUUUAGCUACAUCUGCGAUGUGCGUAACAAAUAAAAUGUCAGUUCGUCUGCAUGCGUUGGGGUAAUUCUUUCUAUUCAUUCUCCGUCAAAAUAAACCGUCAAAUACGGGAAAUAUCCGGUCAACACAACACAAGCCCUGCUUUUGACUGUUUUGUUUUCUUGUGAAAAUUGUUGGAAAGAGAUAUAAUUUAACUGGAUUACCACCAGAGCCAGUGCGCCGUCAUCUCCGUGACGGUAAACGAGGGAAAAACAAAUUGAUAGGAUCCUGCAUGUCUUUUAACACAUUGGUCAGGAUUGACGCACUUUGUUUUCAUUUAGUUGGUUAAAAAAAGUCGGGCUCAGGCUGGGGCCGGGUCAGAGAAUCCUGAAAACCUUUUCGGGCCGGGCCGGACACGGGCUCACAUUUUAGGCCCGUGCAGGGCUCUAAAUCAAAGCCGACAGAUUUAACAAACACCACAGAGACUCUGCCACGCUUCAGACUAGGAAGGUUCUGAUUGGAUCAGCACAGUAAUGUGUCAUGUGAUUAUUUACCUUAGUGUAACAGCAUGUCUAGUGACUAGAAUAAGUCAUAUUACUUAUUAAAAACAUAUUAAUCGUACUAUUGUGAUUUCACAGAUCGGUCACAUUGUAUUAUUAACUAACAGUUGUUUUGAUUAGCUUAAUUGAAAUUAGAGUUCUUUGAUUUUAAUAAAAGAAAAGAAAAGAGUCUUCAUCUUCUAUCUUCACUGCUGGGAAGUAAACAGUUUAGAAGCGAAUGCAUGACCUUGAGGCUGUUUCAUGCACUCUGGCGCUGUGUCAAAAGGAGCUGUGGAAAAGGUCAAAUAUCUUUGGAGGAAUAGCUCCUUCAUCACGUUACAGCUGGCUAACCCUAACCCCAGCCACUCUGUUAGGACUGAUACGCUAAUGGCUAGUCUGAGCAAAGCCAAUAGAAAAGUGUACUACUGCCAUUAUUAAACAGUUCCAAUCAACAUAUUAUCAUAGCAAAUCAUUGGCUGUGUCUCAAUUCAGGGUCUGCAUCCUACGUCGGCCGGAUUCGUCGGCCGGUUACGUCACAGCGCCGCGACUAGACCUGUCCCAAUUCGAAGACUCCUUCAAAUGCGGUCGACGAAUGCGGCCUUCUUUUCGCCUGAAUGAAGGAUGGGUCCGGUGUAUCCUUCAAUAGGUAGCAUUUCCCAAGAUGCCUUGCGGGCCGGCCAGCAGAAAAACUUAAAAACAAUGGCGGACAGUGAAGCGGGAGCUGUCGGAGAGGAUUGCGCAUAUAAAUGAACAAAAGAGAAAACCAGGGAAUUUAUUAAGCUUAGGGCGAAAAUGGACCACAUGAUCACUGGAGCAAAGUAUUCGGCGGCUGUGGCUUGGAGACUAUUCUGGAGAAAAUGGGCAUCCAGGGGAAGGUGCCAGCGAUGACCAGCUUCUGGAGCUGAUCUGGGAGGACAUGAGGCUGCAGAGGGAGGCAGAGGGCCCAGGAGAGAAGGAAGAACUUUGACAGCUUUUUAUUUUGCUAGAAAAAAAUGGUUAAUGAAGAUUAAACAUGUACAUAUAAAAGAAAUAUCUAAAUAAAAUCAGUUCUGCAUUAAACUCUUGGAUUUUAUUUUUGUUUACAAAUGAGAAUUGUUUACUAGAGGGUAUCCGCUGGGUCUUGAAAAGUCUUAAAAGGUGAUAAAUCGGUUUUGGUCAAAUCAAGACCCUUAGAAAGUAUUAAAACUAUUAUCACAUCUUUGCUCAGGCUCAGCUAGUCUAAAGUAUUUUCUCUGAAUUAGCUCUCCAACAGUCAAGGAAAUGAUUAACCCCCAGAGACCCACGGUUGUAACAUUACAACAUCAGAUUUAAGUCUACAAGAAUAAACCUUCCUCAUUUUUUUCUUUUUAAAACCACAUUUACAUUGCUAAUAGGUCCUAUUGUUCAGUUCUGCAACACUAUUGGCUGUUAAAAUGUGUAAAUAGGCCCGUUUAUCUGGCCUCCUAGAGCAACAUGUGAAAGGUUAAAAAAGAUUUUGCAGUUGUUUUCUAAAUUUGGGUCUCUGGGGGUUAAAAAGCUAAAUAAAACGUCCCUUCUGCCCAGCGGUUCCACGGUUGCUAGGCGACGGAACGUUCGCCGAGGGAGUUCAUGAAGGCUAGGCCUGUCCAAAUUCACAGUCGUUAACAUCCGGUCUACCCGGCCGACGGAGGACGCAGCCCACGUCGGCGGGGUGGGCUGCGUCCUUCGAAGGAUGCAGACCCUGAAUUGAGACACAGCCUACGUCUACAUAAUGUUUAUACACAUGCAAGUUUUACAUUACAUAGUUGUUUCAACUUGUCCCCAGGAUGCUGGUGCAACACUGAUGGAAUAUUUAUGUCGCGACGUAUAAAUCCAUUAUGAACAGUUGAAAAAU